rnacentral:rRNA from 1 species
AGCAUGUGGUUUAAUUCGAUGAUACGCGAGGAACCUUACCUGGGCUCAAAUGUAUGUUGACGUAUUCUGAAAGGGAUACUUCUUCGGACAAUAUACAAGGUGCUGCAUGGUUGUCGUCAGCUCGUGUCGUGAGAUGUUGGGUUAAGUCCCGUAACGAGCGCAACCCUUGUCCUUAGUUACCAGCACGUUAUGGUGGGCACUCUAAGGAGACUGCCGGUGACAAACCGGAGGAAGGUGGGGAUGACGUCAAGUCAUCAUGGCCCUUACGGCCUGGGCUACACACGUGCUACAAUGGUCGGUACAAAGGGUUGCCAAGCCGCGAGGUGGAGCUAAUCCCAUAAAACCGAUCGUAGUCCGGAUCGCAGUCUGCAACUCGACUGCGUGAAGUCGGAAUCGCUAGUAAUCGUGAAUCAGAAUGUCACGGUGAAUACGUUCCCGGGCCUU